AGUAGGGCUCCUAUACUUUUAUGAGUAUAUAGAGUUGAGUUAGAAUACUAUCGAUAGCAAAUGGGCUCCGUUGCCAUUCAUUUGUUUUCGAUGAUGGAGCCUCCAAAUCGACAAUCGGCAUCGUUGAACAUGAUCCAUACCACUUGAAGUGUUUAGAAAUCAAACUUCAUACAUUUCUAUAUUAUUCUCUUAUCCAUCAAGUGGACACAAAAAUGAACGGCUGAAAAUAAAUAUUUUUUAAAAAAUGAUGAUAGGAGUCUUAUAAUCAAGAUCAAGAGUAUAGAUCUUGUUUUAAAUAGUUUAAAGAAUUUUAUAACAAAAAUUCAAUUGAUUUGAAUAUCUUUACGCCAUUAAACGAGAAAACGCCUCAUAUCGACUAUUAAAAUUACAAAUUUUGAAACCCUUUGAUCAUUAGGCAAAUGAUGUCGAAAAGAUUUGAAAUUUGAUUUCUAAACACUUUAAGUGGUAUAGAUCAUAUUCAACGGUGCCGAUCGUCGAUUUGGAGGCUCUAUCAUUGAAAACAAAUGGGUGACAACGGAGCCCGUUUGCUAUCGAUAGUAUUUUAGCUCAA
rnacentral:lncRNA from 1 species